GGAGGUUCUGCCCAAAUUGCAUUUAAAUUCUGAUAAAUCAGAAUUUAAUUACAGAGAAUUUUCUAAUAAAUGCUAGAGAGUUGAUCGAGUCCCCGUGUGGAUCAACGUUGGAGGGUGAACACGUGGGCACCUUGUGGAAACCCAAACAGAUUGCUGCCGGCAACUAAGCACAAAUCAGGGUUUAGCGAUAAGAGGUAUGUUUCUAUAUCUUUUAUUUGAUAUUAAUGCAUAUUAUAUGGUUUAAUUUUUGAUA
rnacentral:lncRNA from 1 species